AGAGGUAUCGUACAAUAGGUCAGUACACGAUUCGUCGGAUGCAGGUUCAAUCCCUGCUACCUCUCCA
rnacentral:tRNA from 1 species